GGUAGUCACACGAGUUUAAAUGCAACGAAAUAACUAAUAAUCCGCGUUUAAAGAGCGUAGGUACAAGUUUGCAAUAUCAGUUUGAUUCGAUAUUUCGCAGCGCGUAGUAUUAAGACCUCUGUAGUAGAGUUUUGGCAAGAAUUUAAAGAAGAAAUAAAUUUAAAUAAAAAAACACAAGAAUGAAAUCGUCACUGUUGGCCUCAGUUUUGAUUAUCAUUGCAACAGUCACAAUCAGUUCAGUGUAUGGACAAUCUGGUUCCAAUUAUUUUUACAAAAAUCGUCACGGAAAUUCAAAUAAUGAUGAAGAUCUUAAUGAAGGCGGAGGAGAUGGAAAUACAAGCAUUAAGUUACUGGAAGAAAAUAAUUUGAUACCACUCGAAUUUUUGGAACGACUAGAUAAUGUUGAAGAUAUGAGUGAAUUUAUCAACAAAUUCGUCACAACAGAUGAGUUAGAUCCACAAAUUGGCAUACAACAUAAGAUUGGAGGAAAUUCAAAUGUAGAAAGAGCUGCUUUAAACAUAGCUAAAGCUGCAGGUUGUAUUCCUGAUAGUACAGUUGUACCUUUGGAACCAUUGAAUCCAUCAAAUGAUCCAUCAAUUUUAUACUUUCCUAAAUGCACGAGAGUAAAACGCUGCAAUGGAUGCUGUUCGUCACCUUUAUUAUCAUGCCAACCAGUUGAAACAGAAACAAUUGACUUUACGAUAUUCAAAUUACAAUAUACAGGAAAAAGUCGAAUGCCGCUCAGAGAACAGGAACAUGUUUUAGUUGAACAACAUAAAAAAUGUAAAUGUGAUUGUCGUAUUAGAAAAGAGGAUUGUAAUUCAUAUCAAGUAUAUGAUGCGUCACAAUGUAAAUGUAAUUGUACAAACUACAACGCCAGAGAUAAAUGUUUAUUGGAAGAAGAUAAAAUCUGGGAUUAUGAAACAUGUAAAUGUAGAUGUCGGGAAAACCAACAAUGUACAACAGGUACAUACUUUGAUGAUCACCUUUGCAAAUGUACUGAGAUAGACAAUUUAGAACUUUUUUAAUCAAUCAAUCGACACACACAUCCACCUAUACACAAAUACCAUCUGCUUAUUUGUAAUAAAUUUAAGAAAAAAUAAAUAAACAAAGUAAACAAAAAAAAAACAUCCUAUUUUAGUGUGUAAAACUAUUGUGUAAAAAAAAGAAAUACUAUUUUGUGUAAUUGGAGGUAGUUCCUCCAAAACACUCUUUGACAGGAGGCGGUUUAUUGUUAAAGCAGUACCAGUUGAUCAGAGCAAUAAAACAAUAUAUGAUACUGAUGGAAAAUAAUAAAAA